GGGGAAUAUUGCACAAUGGGCGAAAGCCUGAUGCAGCGACGCCGCGUGAGGGAUGACGGCCUUCGGGUUGUAAACCUCUUUCAGCAGGGAAGAAGCGAAAGUGACGGUACCUGCAGAAGAAGCGCCGGCUAACUACGUGCCAGCAGCCGCGGUAAUACGUAGGUGGCAAGCGUUGUCCGGAUUUACUGGGCGUAAAGGGAGCGUAGGCGGAUACUUAAGUGGGAUGUGAAAUACCUGGGCUUAACUUGGGUGCUGCAUUCCAAACUGGGUGUCUAGAGUGUUGGAGAGGAAAGUGGAAUUCCUAGUGUAGCGGUGAAAUGCGUAGAGAUUAGGAAGAACACCAGUGGCGAAGGCGACUUUCUGGACAAUAACGGACGCUGAGGCUCGAAAGCGUGGGGAGCAAACA
rnacentral:rRNA from 1 species